UAUCCAGUAGUCGCGCGCCUCGCCCGCACGUUCUACCGACUUCAACGAGGCAACUGCUUAACCGCGUCAUAAGCAACCUCGCGAAACGCUCUUGGUCGUCGCGUCGAGCACGGAGCCAACUCGCUGGCUCCUAGCCGGAUAGAGUCCCGGCUGCAUCCUCGCAGUGACGCACGCUUUCGCGGGGUCAUCCGACCAUGCGCCGCGCCGCGGAAUGAAGACGAUUACCGUGGGUAAACCUUGACGCCUUCAGUGAAUUUUCCGCGAGGUUUCGAGUGCAUUGUGUAUUUUAGAACCGUACAGGCUCGAGCACGAACGCGGGUGACGUAAACCGGGGACAAAUAAACGUUGUUGGUCCGCGGUAAAUAGUCAUCGAUAUUUGUUACAUGAUCUCGCUUGGAUUGCCGAGCUGUCGGUACGUGAAGGAAAAAUUACGCUCAUUCUCAUUCGAGAUAAAUUCGGAUGCAAAACAGACUAUGCCGUUUGGUUUAUCCCGAUACGAUUUCUAGUUCUGGAGAUAUCGUCGUACUUGUAAUUUUUUCGAUGCGCUAUCCCUGUUCUCGGUUCUCUGUCCCGUACCUUGACCCAGUUACUGACCAGCCUAGCUCUCACUAUAACUCGUCUAGACAUCUGCUUCUAGGAAAACAACCCUUUCUGGGACCAGAAGAAGAACAAGAAUGCGCAGGAGCGAUUCCGUGUGGCGCUUAAAGAUUUUGAUAUUUCUUAAUUUUACUACGUAGAGUCAAAUCAAAAUAAGGCAGGGUGGACAAUAUCUUACUUUUCGUCUAGCUUUAAUUUCGACAGUUAUUGCUAGAAAAGUAAUAGUUCGUGGCCCUUUCUUGGAAUCCAGGAUUCCCGAGACAACCGCGAAAGCCGUCGGAGGAUUUCUUAACUUCGUAACGUGCUGUCCCAUGAAAGUUUCCUCAUGUUGAAUUCAAAAACUGAUUCCCUUAGAAAACGAAAACGAGUUACCUGCUCCAUUUCAGGCUUGACUUGAUAUCGUUGAUCUUUUAAAAAUGUAAUAACCCUGUGGUUUAAAUAAAACAUUAAAUACAUAAA